CCCUACUGCUAUCGGGGUGGGACUAAGACAUGCGAGUCGAGCGUCUCCAGCUAUGGUGAGACGCGGCAGACGGCUCAGUAACACGUGGCUAACCUACCCUCAGGACAGGGACAAACCCGGGAAACUGGGGCUAAUACCCGAUAGGCGAGGGCGCCUGGAAUGGUUCUUCACCCAAAGGGCUUUGGAAGCAUGCUUUUCAAAGUCGCCUGGGGAUGGGGCCGCGUCCGAUCAGGUUGUUGGUGAGGUAACGGCUCACCAAGCCUAUAACCGGUACGGGCCGUGAGAGCGGUAGCCCGGAGAUGGGCACUGAGACAAGGGCCCAGGCCCUACGGGGCGCAGCAGUCGCGAAAACUCCGCAAUGCACGAAAGUGUGACGGGGCUACCCCGAGUGCCGUCCGCUGAGGAUGGCUUUUCCUCGGUGUAACUAGCCGGGGGAAUAAGGAGAGGGCAAGACUGGUGUCAGCCGCCGCGGUAAUACCAGCUCUCCGAGUGGUAGGGAUGAUUAUUGGGCUUAAAGCGUCCGUAGCCGGCUUAGCAAGUCUCCUGUUAAAUUCAGCGACCUAAUCGUUGAGCCGCGGGAGAUACUACUAGGCUAGGAGGCGGGAGAGGUCGACGGUACUUCCGGGGUAGGGGUGAAAUCCUAUAAUCCCGGGCGGACCACCAGUGGCGAAGGCUGUCGACUAGAACGCGCUCGACGGUGAGGGACGAAAGCUGGGGGAGCGAACCGGAUUAGAUACCCGGGUAGUCCCAGCCGUAAACGAUGCGGGCUAGGUGUUGGGGUGGCUACGUGCCACUUCAGUGCCGCAGGGAAGCCAUUAAGCCCGCCGCCUGGGGAGUACGGCCGCAAGGCUGAAACUUAAAGGAAUUGGCGGGGGAGCACCACAAGGCGUGAAGCUUGCGGUUC
rnacentral:rRNA from 1 species